rnacentral:lncRNA from 1 species
GAUGGGCCAUAUAACAUGUUGCAACAAUUGCAACUAAGUCCCCCAACUCUUUCUCUGUGCACUGCCCAGACUGGGCAUUUUUUGCAGUAAGGGACUGGUCUCCCCGACAUGGGACCGGUCCCCGAGAGCUUCUCCCGCGGACUGCGCAGGCUGCGCGCGAAGCAACCGGUCUCCCUCGAUGGGACCGGUCUCUGGGGGACCGGUCUCUCCUCGCAAGGACCGGUUCCCGAGAGCUGAUUUUCUAGGACUUAGCCGAUUUCUCAGCCAUCUCGCUGCCUACGCGUUCGGGGAC